GUCGAACGAAGCAGAGGGGCGGAAUUUUUUCGGAGAGGAAGCCCCCCUGACUGAGUGGCGGACGGGUGAGUAACGCGUGGACAACCUACCCCGCACUGGGGGACAACAGCUGGAAACGGCUGCUAAUACCGCAUAUGCGCACGGCCCCGCAUGGGGCCGCGCGGAAAGCGCAUGCGGUGCGGGAUGGGUCCGCGUCUGAUUAGCUUGUUGGCGGGGUAACGGCCCACCAAGGCGACGAUCAGUAGCCGGCCUGAGAGGGUGGACGGCCACAUUGGGACUGAGACACGGCCCAGACUCCUACGGGAGGCAGCAGUGGGGGAUAUUGCACAAUGGGGGCAACCCUGAUGCAGCGACGCCGCGUGAGCGAUGGAGUACUUCGGUAUGUAAAGCUCUGUCAGCAGGGAAGAGAAUGACGGUACCUGACCAAGAAGCCCCGGCUAAAUACGUGCCAGCAGCCGCGGUAAUACGUAUGGGGCAAGCGUUAUCCGGAUUUACUGGGUGUAAAGGGAGCGUAGGCGGCAGGGCAAGCCUGAUGUGAAAGCCCGGGGCUCAACCCCGGGACUGCAUUGGGAACUGCCCCGCUCGAGUGCCGGAGGGGCAGGCGGAAUUCCUAGUGUAGCGGUGAAGUGCGUAGAUAUUAGGAGGAACACCAGUGGCGAAGGCGGCCUGCUGGACGGUGUACUGACGCUGAGGCUCGAAAGCGUGGGGA
rnacentral:rRNA from 1 species